CAGCAGCCACGGUAAUACGUAGGUGGCAAGCGUUGUCCGGAAUUAUUGGGCGUAAAGGGCUCGCAGGCGGUUUCUUAAGUCUGAUGUGAAGGCCCCCGGCUCAACCGGGGAGGGUCAUUGGAAACUGGGAAACUUGAGUGCAGAAGAGGAGAGUGGAAUUCCACGUGUAGCGGUGAAAUGCGUAGAGAUGUGGAGGAACACCAGUGGCGAAGGCGACUCUCUGGUCUGUAACUGACGCUGAGGAGCGAAAGCGUGGGGAGCGAACAGGAUUAGAUACCCCAGUAGUCCCUGUCUCUUAUAA
rnacentral:rRNA from 1 species